CCUACGGGUGGCAGCAGUGAGGAAUAUUGGUCAAUGGACGAGAGUCUGAACCAGCCAAGUAGCGUGAAGGAUGACUGCCCUAUGGGUUGUAAACUUCUUUUAUAUGGGAAUAAAAUGUUCCACGUGUGGGAUUUUGUAUGUACCAUAUGAAUAAGGAACGGCUAACUCCGUGCCAGCAGCCGCGGUAAUACGGAGGAUCCGAGCGUUAUCCGGAUUUAUUGGGUUUAAAGGGAGCGUAGGUGGAUUGUUAAGUCAGUUGUGAAAGUUUGCGGCUCAACCGUAAAAUGGCAGUUGAAACUGGCAGUCUUGAGUACAGUAGAGGUGAGCGGAAUUCGUGGUGUAGCGGUGAAAUGCUUAGAUAUCACGAAGAACUCCGAUUGCGAAGGCAGUUCACUGGACUGCAACUGACACUGAGGCUCGAAAGUGUGGGUAUCAAACAGGAUUAGAUACCCCUGUAGUC
rnacentral:rRNA from 1 species